rnacentral:rRNA from 1 species
CUCCUACGGGAGGCAGCAGUAGGGAAUUUUCGGCAAUGGGGGCAACCCUGACCGAGCAACGCCGCGUGAGUGAAGACGGCCUUCGGGUUGUAAAGCUCUGUUGUAAGGGAAGAACGGUAGAUAGAGAAUAUCUAAGUGACGGUACCUUACCAGAAAGCCACGGCUAACUACGUGCCAGCAGCCGCGGUAAUACGUAGGUGGCGAGCGUUAUCCGGAAUUAUUGGGCGUAAAGGGUGCGUAGGCGGCCUGUUAAGUAAGUGGUUAAAUUGUUGGGCUCAACCCAAUCCAGCCACUUAAACUGGCAGGCUAGAGUAUUGGAGAGGCAAGUGGAAUUCCAUGUGUAGCGGUAAAAUGCGUAGAUAUAUGGAGGAACACCAGUGGCGAAGGCGGCUUGCUAGCCAAAGACUGACGCUCAUGCACGAAAGCGUGGGGAGCAAAUAGGAUUAGAUACCCUAGUAGUCCACGCCGUAAACGAUGAAUACUAAGUAUUGGGGAAACUCAGUGCUGCAGCUAACGCAAUAAGUAUUCCGCCUGUGGAGUAUGCACGCAAGUGUGAAACAUAAAGGAAUUGACGGGGGCCCGCACAAGCGGUGGAGUAUGUGGUUUAAUUCGACGCAACGCGAAGAACCUUACCAGGCCUUGACAUCCCUUGCAAAGCUGUAGAGAUACAGUAGAGGUUAUCAAGGAGACAGGUGGUGCAUGGUUGUCGUCAGCUCGUGUCGUGAGAUGUUGGGUUAAGUCCCGCAACGAGCGCAACCCUUGCCUUCAGUUACCAGCAUUUAGUUGGGGACUCUGGAGGGACUGCCGGUGAUAAACCGGAGGAAGGUGGGGAUGACGUCAAAUCAUCAUGCCCCUUAUGGCCUGGGCUACACACGUACUACAAUGGCUGUUACAACGUGCAGCGACCUAGCGAUAGGAAGCGAAUCACUAAAAGACAGUCUCAGUUCGGAUUGAAGUCUGCAACUCGACUUCAUGAAGCUGGAAUCGCUAGUAAUCGCGGAUCAGAAUGCCGCGGUGAAUACGUUCUCGGGCCUUGUACACACCGC